rnacentral:lncRNA from 10 species
CUCCCACAGCAAACAAAACCCUUUUAGAGAAAUAAGAAAGGAGGAAGAAGGAAGAAAAGAGGGAAGAAAAAAACAGGAGAAAGAAAACCCUUCAGGCUUUCAAUUCGAGUGGGAGAGUUGAACCGAAAGAAAGAGAAAGAAAGGAAGAAAAAUCCUCUGCGGUAGAAAGAGAAAAGAAAACUUGGGCUGACAAGAGGGAGGUGUUGGGGGUGGAAGGAAGUGAGAAAACAAAAGAGAGAUAAAAGGGCUGCUUUUCUGUCUCUCUCUUCCUCUGCGAGCUGGCUUAGGAGGAGCUGUUUUGCAUCCCUUCACGUCAGCCCUGCCUCAUUCCCUUCUUCCAGGGAGGGAGAGAGCGCGAGCGAGAGAGCGAGCGAGAGGAGGGGGGAGAGAGAGAAAGAGAGGAGCCGGAGGGAGGGCGGCAGGAGCAGGCGGCGGGCGCGCGUGGAGGCGGGCGGCGGGCGCACAGCAGCAGCCCGGGCGGUGGGCAGCCAGGAGCCCCCGGCCCGGCCCGGCCCGGCCCGCCGAGGGCCCCAGCGCAGGAGCCGCGCCCGGACCCAGGGUGUGCGGAGAAGGACUUUGUGCUCUUGGGGGUCACUCAGCCAGCUUUGAAGCUGCCCUCUCAGUCCUGCAUUUGUACA